rfam:Trichosporon oleaginosus strain IBC0246 unplaced genomic scaffold CC85scaffold_8, whole genome shotgun sequence.
GACUCCUUAGCUUAGUUGGUAGAGCACCAGAUUCCAAUACGGUUCUCUGGCGGUCGUGUGUUCAAGUCGCACAGGGGUCG